rnacentral:rRNA from 1 species
CUUGACAUACUCGUGCUAUUCCUAGAGAUAGGAAGUUCCUUCGGGACACGGGAUACAGGUGGUGCAUGGUUGUCGUCAGCUCGUGUCGUGAGAUGUUGGGUUAAGUCCGCAACGAGCGCAACCCCUAUUGUUAGUUGCCAUCAUUAAGUUGGGCACUCUAACGAGACUGCCGGUGAUAAACCGGAGGAAGGUGGGGAUGACGUCAAAUCAUCAUGCCCCUUAUGACCUGGGCUACACACGUGCUACAAUGGAUGGUACAACGAGUCGCGAGACAGUGAUGUUUAGCUAAUCUCUUAAAACCAUUCUCAGUUCGGAUUGUAGGCUGCAACUCGCCUACAUGAAGUCGGAAUCGCUAGUAAUCGCGGAUCAGCACGCCGCGGUGAAUACGUUCCCGGGCCUUGUACACACCGCCCGUCACACCACGGGAGUUGGGAGUACCCGAAGUAGGUUGCCUAACCGCAAGGAGGGCGCUUCCUAAGGUAAGACCGAUGACUGGGGUGAAGUCGUAACAAGGUAAGCGUAGCGAG